CACUGAGCCAGUAGUAGGCAAUACAGCCAGACACUGAGCCAGUAGUAGGCCCUACAGCCAGACAUUGAGCCAGUAGUAGGCCCUACAGUCAGACACUGAGCACAGUUGUUCGCCACCUGCUAUAGCUUUAAAAAAAAAGACAUUGAAAUGGAUUGAGAAGAACACAGAAUGAAAGAAACUUCAACAGAUUCACAUCUAGCAUCUGGCCUUGUCAUAUCUCUACAUCAGACACAAUAUCAAAGGUAACUGUAAAGGAAAAUCAUUUGAUUGUGAGGUCAGUAAGGUCACAUUUAUGAUACGUCUUGUUGAUGUUUUUACUUUCAGUCCUUAAGUAGGAUUCAGAACGAAGGAAUGGCCAAGAAAAAGAAAUGUGGAUUAACGAAUUGAGAGAUUUGUUUUAGCUGGUCAAACUCCCUAAGUUUGCAGGGAACAGUACCAGGACAAAGAAGAAGAGGCAAACAGAGAAAUCAAUGGGAAGACAACCUAAUAGAAUGGACGGGCCUGACAUUGAAGGAGGUUCUAUCCAGGACAAAAGACAAAGAGGAAUAGAGAAAGACGGUUUACAAAUCUUGUGCGGUGCCCCAACGGUCCAACAGACUAAAGGAUAGGUGAAGGUGAAUGUGAAGCCUACUAGCUACACCUUUCUGCACCUCUUGUGACAUGACCAAUUCUAUAUUCUAGCUACCAGUAGUGCAUUACAAAUUAUUUUAGUAGACCAGCUUUAAAAUGUCUAGUUUAGUUUACUUCGUAUAAUUUCAGGGAAUUAAUGACUGGAUGUUGUUGUUUUUUUGUCACAAGCCAUGAACUCCCCUCCAGCACAGCGUGAGCUGACAUGAUUGAUAAUUUUUUUUUCUUCACUUACUAAAUGAUCUAAUGAAUCGAAUUUAUUUAUUUGUUUCAAACAGUAUACAGACACAGACAUUUGAUAGGCAGACAUUCUUAAAUGCUGUGUAAACAUUGGGACCAAAGUUUUGAAGAAGUCAUGUCCGUGAUGGGCUCCAUAAAUUCAAAAAGAUAUUGCACCUGUCAACGGGUUUAUUGCGUAAACUUAUAGAUCUACCUUCCUGCAUUGUGAUAUAGGGCUACAUCAAGAUGGCUAAAUUGUGGAAUGGCAUGAAGGAAUUUUUACGAUGGCUUUAAAAGGCAGACUUGGCCAGUAUUCUGCUAUGUUAACUGUGUUGAAAAAAAGGGGCCGUACAGAGUUACAAAAUGUGCAAGACAGUGGAGCAUGACGGUUUCCAGCACUUUGUUUUCCAUUAAGUCAAACCAAACAUUUGGCAAACAUUCACUGACUUGACCACAUGACCGAGCCUGGGUUCUGGUUUGUCUUAGCAAUUGUUUGACUUGGACCAUGAGCCUUGUCUGACCUUGUGGGAGGACUUUCGACAUCGUGUCAUGACAGCGCAGUGGUUCCCUGGCCCUUCAGAAAACAAGACAUUCACAGUUUGCAAUCAUGGAAGAAGAAUGAGUUCGUUAAUUCCCCAGUCCGAGAACCACUGCGUCAACGUGUAGAACGUUCUGGAGACACCAGUACAACAAAAGUGGUUUCCCUUUGAUGGAGUUAUCAAAGACACAGUGAGACACAUCGAAGCAAAAUGGUGCUUGUGUAUUAACAUUUUAAAAUAAACACAAACUCUUUGGCGACCCCUGUGGGUCAGUCGUACUCACGCAUAGUUACAGAAGUUUUCUGGCGGUCGGUGUGCCGAAGUUACGGAUUUACGUGAAUGUUUUGUUUUUAAAAAUCUUGCUUUAAAACAUGUUUAGACGUUUGUGCAUAAAGUUUAUUGGCAGAUGUUUUAAAAACAAAGAAGAACGAUUUCUCAAAACCUUAAGUGGCUGUUGCACCUACAAACACCUGAAUCUGUACAAAGAACUAUAUUCACACCAAAACAAUCUACGUUAAAGAACACAAAACUGUUCGAUCCUUUCGAUCCCAGAUCCCAUCGAGCUACCUCUGUUCAGUAGAGUAUUUCCAAGAUUUUUAAAGCUUGUUUAAAAAAAAAAAUUGUCACACUAUUGUCAUAUCAAAAACAAAAGAGCAAUAAACCUUACACUUUAUUUGGAGCACGAUGUUGCCUAAUGUACGAGAGAUAUGAACAUGGCAGACACGUGAGCCGCUUCAAUUGAAUGUUUUAAUUGACAUAAUUAAACUAGGGAACUU
rnacentral:sRNA from 1 species